UACGUAGGGUGCAAGCGUUGUCCGGAAUUAUUGGGCGUAAAGAGCUCGUAGGCGGUCUGUCGCGUCUGCUGUGAAAACUCAGGGCUUAACCCUGAGCUUGCAGUGGGUACGGGCAGACUAGAGUGCGGUAGGGGAGACUGGAAUUCCUGGUGUAGCGGUGAAAUGCGUAGAUAUUGGGAAGAACACCGGUGGCGAAGGCGGGACUCUGGGCCGAUACUGACGCUGAGGAGCGAAAGCGUGGGGAGCAAACAGG
rnacentral:rRNA from 1 species